UACGAAGGGGGCGAGCGUUGUUCGGAAUCACUGGGCGUAAAGCGUGCGUAGGCGGCGAUGAAAGUUAGAAGUGAAAGCCCAGGGCUCAACCUUGGAAUUGCUUUUAAAACUCCAUCGCUCGAAUCUCGGAGAGGAUAGCGGAAUUGUCAGUGUAGCAGUGAAAUGCGUAGAUAUUGACAGGAACACCAGUGGCGUAAGCGGCUAUCUGGACGAGUAUUGACGCUGAGGCACGAGAGCGUGGGGAUCAAACAGG
rnacentral:rRNA from 1 species